rnacentral:lncRNA from 1 species
UUUGUAAUUGGGAACUCAUAUAUUUUAUAAAGGAUUUGUAAUAAAUUGCUCCACUGCAUAUAUUUAACUAUUAUGCACUUGUAAUCUAUUUCUAUAUCUGGCACCCUUAUGCCUUAAUUAGCAUUUCAGAUGUCACAAAUGGUACCAAAGUAGUUACGUAGAACAAUCAUUUACAACUGAGGCUAUAGCUAGGAAAAAAGCCUUCUAAAAUACUUAGGAAAUAUAUCGUCUUUUGAAAACUAGAACACCAACUUGUGUCUUCCUUUU